GAUGAACGCUGGCGGCGUGCCUAAUACAUGCAAGUCGAGCGAACAGACGAGGAGCUUGCUCCUCUGACGUUAGCGGCGGACGGGUGAGUAACACGUGGAUAACCUACCUAUAAGACUGGGAUAACUUCGGGAAACCGGAGCUAAUCCCGGAUAAUAUAUUGAACCGCAUGGUUCAAUAGUGAAAGACGGUUUUGCUGUCACUUAUAGAUGGAUCCGCGCCGCAUUAGCUAGUUGGUGAGGUAACGGCUUACCACGGCAACGAUGCGUAGCCGACCUGAGAGGGGGAUCGGCCCCACGGGAACUGAGACGCGGUCCAGGCUCCGAGGGGAGGCAGCAGUAGGGAAUCUUCCGCAAUGGGCGAAAGCCUGACGGAGCAACGGAGCGUGAGUGAUGAAGGUCUGCGGAUCGUAAAACUCUGUUAGUAGUGAAGAACAAAUGUGUAAGUAACGAUGCACGUCUUGACGGUACCGAAACAGAAAGCCACGGCUAACUACGU
rnacentral:rRNA from 1 species